rnacentral:rRNA from 1 species
AUUGAACGCUGGCGGUAGGCUUAACACAUGCAAGUCGAGCGGUAACAUUUCCAGCUUGCUGGAAGAUGACGAGCGGCGGACGGGUGAGUAGUGCCUAGAUAUCUGCCUAGUCGUGGGGGAUAACAGUUGGAAACGACUGCUAAUACCGCAUACGCCCUACGGGGGAAAGGAGGGGACCUUCGGGCCUUUCGCGAUUAGAUGAGUCUAGGUGGGAUUAGCUAGUAGGUGAGGUAAUGGCUCACCUAGGCGACGAUCCCUAGCUGUUCUGAGAGGAUGAUCAGCCACACUGGGACUGAGACACGGCCCAG